rnacentral:rRNA from 1 species
UACGGGGGGAGCAAACGUUGUUCGGAAUCACUGGGCGUAAAGGGCGUGUAGGCGGCUGGAUAAGUGGGAUGUUAAAUCCCCCGGCUCAACCGGGGACCUGCAUCUCAUACUGUUCAGCUCGAGCACAUCAGAGGAGACUGGAAUUCCGCGUGUAGCAGUGAAAUGCGUAGAGAUGCGGAGGAACACCGAUGGCGAAGGCAGCCCCCUGGGCUAGCACUGACGCUCAGGCACGAAAGCGUGGGGAGCAAACAGG